rnacentral:rRNA from 1 species
GUGUCAGCAGCCGCGGUAAUACAGAGGGUGCAAGCGUUAUCCGGAUUCACUGGGUUUAAAGGGUGCGUAGGUGGAUUAGUAAGUCUGUGGUGAAAUCUCCGAGCUUAACUCGGAAACUGCCAUGGAUACUAUUAGUCUUGAAUCUCCUGGAGGUAAGCGGAAUAUGUCAUGUAGCGGUGAAAUGCUUAGAUAUGACAUAGAACACCAAUUGCGAAGGCAGCUUACUACAAGAGUAUUGACACUGAGGCACGAAAGCGUGGGGAUCAAACAGGAUUAGAUACCCUGGUAGUCCACGCCCUAAACGAUGAUUACUCGACAUACGCGAUACACUGUGUGUGUCUGAGCGAAAGCAUUAAGUAAUCCACCUGGGAAGUACGAUCGCAAGAUUGAA